UUUUGUGGGUGAUGGCGUGCCUUUUGAAGAAUGAGCCUGCGAGUCAGCGGCAUGUCGCGAGGUUAACCCGUGUGGGGUAGCCGUAGGGAAACCGAAUCCUAACUAGGGUGUCAAGUGGCAUGUUCUGGACCCGAAGCGGGGUGAUCUACCCAUGGCCAGUGUGAAGCGAUGGUAAGACGUCGUGGAGGCGCGAACCCACGUAGGUUGAAAACUGCGGGGAUGAGUUGUGGGUAGGGGUGAAAGGCCAAUCAAACUCCGUGAUAGCUGGUUCUCCCCGAAAUGCAUUUAGGUGCAGCGUCGUAGUAGCCUGGUGGAGGUAGAGCUACUGGUUGGUUGAGCGGGACUAUCAUCUUAGCAACAUCAGCCAAACUCCGAAUGCCGCCAGUUGUGUUCUACGGCAGUGAGACUGUGGGGGAUAAGCUUCAUAGUCGAGAGGGAAACAGCCCAGAUCGCCGGUUAAGGCCCCUAAGGGUGUGCUAAGUGGAAAAGGAUGUAAGAUCGCGAAGACAGCCAGGAGGUUGGCUUAGAAGCAGCCAUCCUUGAAAGAGUGCGUAAUAGCUCACUGGUCGAGUGGUUUUGCGCCGACAAUGUAGUGGGGCUCAAGCACACCGCCGAAGCCGCGGCAA
rnacentral:rRNA from 1 species